rnacentral:rRNA from 2 species
CUGGGGUCAGCCGCCGCGGUAAUACCAGCACCCCGAGUGGUCGGGACGUUUAUUGGGCCUAAAGCAUCCGUAGCCGGUUCUACAAGUCUUCCGUUAAAUCCACCUGCUUAACAGAUGGGCUGCGGAAGAUACUAUAGAGCUAGGAGGCGGGAGAGGCAAGCGGUACUCGAUGGGUAGGGGUAAAAUCCGUUGAUCCAUUGAGGACCACCAGUGGCGAAGGCGGCUUGCCAGAACGCGCUCGACGGUGAGGGAUGAAAGCUGGGGGAGCAAACCGGAUUAGAUACCCGGGUAGUCCCAGCUGUAAACGAUGCAGACUCGGUGAUGAGUUGGCUUAUUGCUAACUCAGUGCCGCAGGGAAGCCGUUAAGUUUGCCGCCUGGGGAGUACGAAAGCAAGACUGAAACUUAAAG